UAUCACCACCCGCCGACUCUCAUAAGCCGUCACAUCCGAGCGAGAACGCAGCAAACAGGUAGUGAUCUCGCAAACGAACCCCGAGCCGCCACAAUGGUCGUCACCUCCCGCAUGCUCGCCGCCCACACCAGUGGUUACCCCGUGGACGUCAGAGCUCGCUUCUGGUCCAACUAUUACAGAUCACUCAAAGAUAUCACCAACGAAGAGAGUCGCCCCCGCGUUUCCGAGUCGUAUCAUCCCCGUGGUGGCAUCACGUCCCAGAGCUCCGGCCCGCUGACGCUCCCCAAGAGUACUUACCCAUUGGUGCUCAACACGAUCUCGCCGUCCGUCCGUCCUUCCUGUCACCUGUGAGGCGGAAAUACGUCUGGACGACGCAUCCGCAGCGACAGGCCUAUUCGCUGAAGAAAUAGAUAAGGUCUCUUGCUGCAAAUGGUGAAAAUAAAUUAUAUAUUAUAACUCAACAUAUUUUUUCAUCCAGAUUGUACUUCAACAUUUUUCCUCAUUACAACUUGUCAUCAUAUGUAAUAUAUGCUGUCUUAAGAAUCUUCUUUCAUGAACCAUUAGAUUUAUGAAAUACAAAUUUCGAAUAUUUUUUAUUUGUGUGGUGAACUUAUUAUAGAGCACUAGAGUAGUUCUGAGAGUAAUCUUCCCUUUAAUGUGUCUAAAGCAACAUGAUUUUGUUAGUCACGAAGUAUGUGGCAGGGGUAAGGUACAUGAAUCAGGCAUGUAAUAUUUUCUUCACCUAAUUUCCGGAAGAGUGGGUUAGCUGAAACAUCUAGAUAUUCGAUCGAACCAAGAAUAUCAUCCCAUCAUUCUUGCUAGUCAUGGUCUGAAUUUGCCUAACACAAUGUUAUGUAGACCAUUUGUUGCAGUCGUGUAAAAACAAAUUGAAAAAUUAUACAUGAAUAAAUCUUAGAUAGCCA
rnacentral:misc_RNA from 1 species